rnacentral:rRNA from 1 species
AACGAACGCUGGCGGCAUGCCUAACACAUGCAAGUCGAACGAGACCUUCGGGUCUAGUGGCGCACGGGUGCGUAACGCGUGGGAACCUGCCCUUAGGUUCGGAAUAACUCCCCGAAAGGGGUGCUAAUACCGGAUAAUGUCUUCGGACCAAAGAUUUAUCGCCUUUGGAUGGGCCCGCGUUGGAUUAGCUAGUUGGUAGGGUAAUAGCCUACCAAGGCGACGAUCCAUAGCUGGUCUGAGAGGAUGAUCAGCCACACUGGGACUGAGACACGGCCCAGACUCCUACGGGAGGCAGCAGUGGGGAAUAUUGGACAAUGGGCGAAAGCCUGAUCCAGCAAUGCCGCGUGAGUGAUGAAGGCCUUAGGGUUGUAAAGCUCUUUUACCCGGGAUGAUAAUGACAGUACCGGGAGAAUAAGCGCCGGCUAACUCCGUG